rnacentral:lncRNA from 1 species
UCACAACAAGAACUUAAUAGUUAAGAUAAGAGUAACAUUGUCAAUUAAAACUCCCAAACAUUAAUAACCAUACUUUUACUAUUGAAAAACAACAUUAAGAGUUACACACUUCAACAACAAGAACAUGCACAUCUUAGUUAUAUAUCUUAAACAUAAAAGCUAAAUAGAAAACAACAGCAAAAUACUACGACCCCCUCCGUCCCAAACGAGUUGAGAUCGCCUAUAUAAAUUCUCGCUAACCAUAUUACUCCAUAUAAACUCGUCUCACGAAAAUAUCUUUCUUAGCACCUAGGGAAAGGGGAACCACAAGUAGAAGCAACUUUCUUGGCAUUAGGGGAUAUCUUAAACAUAAAGGCUAAUAGAGAACAACAACAAUAUACUACGCCUCUGUCCCCAAACGAGUUUGAGAUCGGCUAUAUGAAUUCUCGUUAACCAUAUUACUCCAUAUAAACUCGUCUCAUAAAAAUAUACUUCUUAGCACUUAGGGAAAGGGGAACCACAAGUAGAAGCAACUUUCUUGGCAUUAGGAGAAGAAAUCAUCUUUUGAAGUCUUGGAUCUUUCAUGUAUUUGCAAAGGCAUGGCCUUUGUUCCUUUAACUUUGAGCAACACAUUGCACUUGGAGUUGUAGAAGACAUUAUGGCAUUUGCACAAACACUUAACAUCACUGGAUUGCAAGUGAUAUCUGCUUUUGCUAUUUUUGUUUCUUGACCAAGAAUUAAAAGUAUCAUUACAAAAAUAGCCACACAUCUCAUGGCCAUAAUGUUAAGAUCCUUUCUUUGAUAGAAAUAAUUGUUUGUAAGUGAGAGUGUAAGUAUUUUCUUGUGUGUGUGUGUGUGUUUUGUGAUGAAUGCAUUGGCUUGUGUGCUCAAUUUAUAGAUGGGGAUGGUAGAAAAAAAAAAGGAUUAAUUAAUAAUAAAAAAGAAAAAAGAAGCUUACUUUUUCUCCCCUCCACUGUUUUUCCUUCAUCAUGUGUUGGUUAAAGUAAAAUAUAUAAGGAUCUUUGAAAAUAAAAUAUAAAAAGAAAAGUAAUUUCGCAAAAGAUUAAGUUAUAUAUGUACACUGAAAAUGUUUUAUAGCAGGUUAUUAUUCUAUUUUUACAAUUUGCAAAGUGUGUUCUCUUGAAUAAUUGAUGUGUGUUAACAGAGGCAGAUGCAGUGUGAAAGUUACGGGUUCAAUUGAACCCAUAACUUUCGACGCGGAGUAGAAAUUUAUGUGUAAAAAUUCAUUAAAAUUGCAAAAAUAAUAGAUUUGAAUCCAUAACUUUAAAUAUAUAAUUGGUUCAAUGUUAAAAUCUUAAAAAUUGAACCCAUAGAAUUUAAAUCCUGGAUUCGCCUCUGUGUGUUAACUUAAUUUGAAAAUAUAAAAAUUAUUUAAAUUGUCAAUGCAUAGAAUAUAAACUAUUUCACAAAUCAUUUAAUUUGAAAAUUGUAAUUAAUAUUUCCACUUUUUGUAAACAGAUAAAAAACUUAGUCUUCUUAUAUGUUUUUACACAGAGAAACUUCUUAUCUGUCAUUGAACAAGGAUGUCAUCCAAACAAAAAGUAAGUAAAUAAAAGAUGGAGAGGGAAAUGAUAGAAAUUGAUAGAGCCAACCAGUAGUAUUAUAUGGUUUUAAUUGGUCAUAAUAUUCGAGUAUUUAAGUUACAACUUAGAUAUCUGAAAGUGAAGACUAUAUUGAGCUAAGUACAAGUAGUUGAUAUUAGAGCUUUAAAGUUCAUGCAUUAUUAGUAAUUAUAUCGGCAUGCUUACCAUUAGUUGAAGCUAUCAUAACAAUCAUGAGCAUGAGCAAUAUAAUAAUUCCAUCCUUAAUUAGGGUUGUGAUGGAGGGGUAAGUACGACUUCGUCCUAAAUUAGAAAUCUCGAGUUCUAGUCUUGGAUAUAAAGUCAUCUUUAUUAGGGAGCAUUUUAUUUCUCAAUGUGAGAAUUUUCGGCGCGAAUGCGAAUUUUAUCGGACUCUAAUAUGAGUAUUGAACACUAAUUGCAAAAAAAAAAAAUGAACUCCUCCGAUUCAAAGCUUUUGUUGCCACGUGGCUAGGAGGUCACAGGUUCGAGCCGUGAAAAUAACCUUUUGCAUAAAUCCAACGUAAGACUGUGUAUAAUAGACCCUUGUGGUUCAACUCUUCCCNNNNNNNNNNNNNNNNNNNNNNNNNAAGCUUAGUACACCAGACUAUUUUUUUAUGAGGUCCUGUCUUUGGCAGUUGACACUGGUCCGUGGAGUUGAGUUUAAGAGGUUAUUAAUGAUGCAUUAUUAUUAUUAUUAUUAUUAUUAUUAUUAUUAUUAUUAUUAUUAUUAUUAUUAUUAUUAUUAUUAUUAUUAUAUAGAGGCGUAAAUGUUUGACGAUAUGUGAUAUGUUCUUCCUUUGUGACUUUUGCAACUAGAAUAUUUUUCAUUUGAAGCUGAAACGAAGAGAAGUCUUUCUCUAUAACCAUAAUAAAUUAAUGUAUUUUGUUUAUAUAUUGUGUGUAAAAAAAAGGAAAAAUUGCUCUUUAUAACCGCGGUAAAAAUAAUAGCCGAAAAAAUAUUAAAAAAUUUAUAUUAUAUAUAUAUAUAUAUUCAAUAUAUUAUAUACAAAUUUUAUGUACUUUUUAACUACCAAACUAGUUCUAAAAAUUAAUCUAGAAAACAAUAAACUGGUUCGACUAUUAAAAAACAAAUAUUCUCUUCUAAUCAUUAAGGAAAUCUUUUCGGUGAUGUGAUUAGAUCCAACACCUUUUGCCAUGGCAUGCGCCUCUUCAUUCCAUUUUCCUUCCUUUAUUUUUCCUCUUUUAAUCAUAUCAAACUUUAAUACUUUCCUCUUUCUCUCACAGAUGAUUUCAUCAUUAUAGCAAGGGCCCACCCUUGGCAUGCAUCACGUAGAAAAAUAAUUCUAUAGUAGUGUAUGCAAAAUUUUACACAAGUAAUAUUGAAUUAUUGUUACAAUUUUUGUCUGUAAUUAUGGUAAUUUUAAAAUUUUAAUUUGUGUUUCAAAUUAAUAAUAUUCGCUUUGCAUUAGUUUCAAGCGAUGCGGUUCAUUAAAUUCUAUUAUCUUGAACAACCUUUCCUUUUGAUCGUACCGUUCAAGAGCGGGAGGUAGUUUUUUUUUUUUUUUUUUCAUGUUGUCAAAGAAUUGGACAAUGAUUAUUUUAUAUUUCUAAAGAUUUGAAUAUUUAAAAAAAAAAUAGCGAGUGCCUAAUCGAAUUAAUCAAGUCACCUAGAGCUGUUAAUAUGGACCAGGCCGGAUUAGCCAGCUCAACCAUGUGGGCUUUAGCAAUUGACAGAAUGAGUUGGACUAGCCCACCAUUUUGAUGGGCCUUAUAAUGGUAAACUCAUUUCAGCCCUAUGUGGAUUGCGGCCCCCCAUGGGUUGGUCCAUCAUUUUAAAAAAAAUAUAAUUUUAUGUUUUUUUCUUUAAGUUCUAACCUAAAAAUAAUAUAAAUAUUUAAAAUUUAAAUAAUAUCUUAUUGAAAAAAUUUCGCAAAACUUAAUAAUUUUUUAUAUUGUUCCAAUAUAUCACAAUAAAUAUUAAAAAUAAGUAAAAGAUACGACUUUUCAUUUACUAAAAGUCAAAACUCAAAACAAAUUAUUCAAGAGAACGUCCAUGACGCUUUUGGAUAUACAACACAUCAUCUUCAUCAAACACAUUUGAAUCCGUUUGUGACAAGGUUGUCUUAACAUCUUCACUUUCAUCAACUUUUACAAUUCAUAUGCAAUAUUAAUUAGUUAAAUAUUAAGAAUGAUAAAAUUUUAAAUACAAAUAAUAUUCAAAUUCAUAUAAAAAAUAUUACCAGUUUGAGUUUGGAAAAAGUCGUACAACCAAUUUUGAGUAGUAACAACUGUUUGGACAUUUUAAUGACGUAUGCAACUUUUAUACUUUGUCAGAACACGCCCCCUCCUCCCCUCCCCCCACCCCACCCCACCCCCAACACAAUGCUAAAUGUUGAUUCCGAUGCUACAGUAGUAAUAGGAAUACUAAGUACAUCACGCAUCGUCACUGGAAGAUCGAGAUAUUUUCUAAAAUAGUCCUUCCAAUACAUGACAACAUCCUUCUCUUGAAACUUUUCAAGAUCAAGUUUUAGUUCCUCUAAGUAAAGAUCUAAUUUUGACUUUCUAUCGCUAGAGGCAGUAUACUGUUUGUAUGCUAUAUAUUUUAAAUAAAUAUUUUUAUUAGGUCCACGGGCUGACCCAGACCAACCUUAGUCAAGUCUCAAGAGCCGCGGGCUUAUUAGGAUCGGGCUUAAAGGUCUCGUUUUUAAAUGGGCUCCAAAAAUUUUAACCCAACCCUACUAAAUUAUGGGCCGGGCUGGUCAGGCCCAAUGGGGCAAGCCCAUAUUGACGACUCUAAAGUCGCCUAGGAAUAAAGUUGAAGUCUACCUUAAUUUUUUUGCAACUCUUAUUUUUUUCUCAUAAUUAAAUUUAUGUUAACCAAACAAUCCAUGAUAUAAAAACACCAACUCCUUUGGAUGCAAAACUGAAAAUGUUGGAAAGAAAGUGGAACGGUAUUAUGUUGUCAUGAAAUUGGAUAGAAAUUCAACGAAUAAACAAAUGCUAUUUUACAGUAAUUAAUCUAUAUAAAUGGUAUUUAAGGGCCUAAAAUAUACCACAAAUUAUAGGAGUCAUUAGUGAUUCGAGCCUGAGUAUAAAGUUGUCCUUCUUAGGAAGGAACUUUUUUCGGUGAAUUUUAAUUUAGUCGGACUUCGAACAUGUACAAGACAUAGCAUAUAGAAAACUAAAAAGAAAGAAUGUUGAGAACCAAGAAAGCUCAGAGCUCAUUUGAUACGAAAAAUAAGGAAUAAUUAAUUUCGGAAUAUAAAAAUACGAACUCUUUUGGACGCAAAAUUGAAAAUGUUGAAAACACCGUGGAACUGGUAUUAUCAUUAAAGUGGGUUGAAAAUCAAUGAAAAAACAAAUGCUAUGUUACAAUAAUUAGUCUAUGUUAAUAGUCUUUUAAGGACCUAAAACAAACAAUAGGAUUUAUUGUAGAAUAAUCACUAAUGAUUGCUUCAUUGUAGAAUGUUGAUACCCAUCAAUAUAGAUUGUGAUCGAGUGGUAAGUAUUUAUUUAUUGUCAGAGGCGGAUCCAGAAUUUAUAUUUUAUAAGUUCAAUUUUUAAGAUAUUAGUAUUGAACCCAUUAUAUUUUUAAAGUUAUGGGUUCAUAUCUACUAUUUUUAUAAUUUUAAGAAAUUUUUACAUAUAAAUUUUUGCUCCGCGUGGAAAGUUAUGAGUUCAAUUGAACCUGUAGUCAACCUUCUACAUCCGCCUUUGUUCAUCGUCGACCAGAUAUUUCAAAUUCGAGCCUUGAUUAUAAAGUUGUCUUUGCUAGGGAACUGUUUGCCGUCUAUUGUGGGCUUUUCGGGGCGAAUCCAAAUAAAUUAGUCGGGUUCCAGUGCGUAUAUAAAACAAAUGGAAUAUUGAUACAAUCAAACCUCUCUAUAACAUUCUCGUUUGUUCCGAAUAUUUUUGAAUGUUAUAGCAAAAUGCUGCUAUAGAGAACAUAUAUUAUAACAUAAUAUUGAUUCCGAAAAAACUUGACUUUUAUAGUAAAUUGUAAUUAUAUCGGGAUAUUGUUAUAGAGCGCUCUGACAGUACCCAAGAGGGUUAUAGGGUUACAAUUUACUUUUACAGUACGGUAAAUCUCUUAAUGAUUAAUGAAAUCACACCGCAAGGUAAAGUAAUCCUUUUUGUUAAGACAAGUUAGUGGUCAAAGAUCUUAUCUAAUCUUUCAUGAUAAAAAGCCAAUAAAUAUGGAAACUUUUAUUGCAAAAAGUUGACAUUUAAGUCUAAUGUUUAGAUAGUAUGAAUAAAUAAGAAAAUGACAUGACCUUGAUAUAUGUCUUUGCCUCAUUUUUUUUAAUACUACCGACAAAAAUAUAUAAAAUUAAGUUGUGUUCAUGAAUUUACUUACAACUUGGUAAAAUAUCAUAAAAAAAUAAUUUACUGGUCAAUGGCAUAAUCGUCUUCAUUAGAAUUAGCUAGAGAACUCGAAAUCUGUUUAAAUAGAGAAUUGAUAAUUCGGCCAAUUAAUCAAGUAAAUAGUUUCUGCCGCUGGCUAAAAAUGGAAAAAGCCCAAAAUAAUCAAAAUGGCCUAUCAUCCAAUCGCGCGAGAAAUUCAAAAAUAGCCAGAUUUACAAGUGGUCAUUCAAAAAUAGUCACAAUUUCAAAGGUAAUCGAAAUUUAGCCAUUUUUCAGGUAAAGAUAAAUCUGAACGAAAACACUGUUCAAAAUUCGGAAAAAUACUCCAGCAUAAUAUACUGGAGUUUGGAGCACCGGUGCUCCAGUCUCCAGUAUAUUAUACUGGAGCCAGCAAAGUAUACCGGUCCAGCAUAAUAUGCUGGAAGUUCAUACACAGGUGUACCGAACUCCAUUAUAUUAAGUUGGACCGAUCUCUGUUGCAGCAAAAUAGUGGCUAUUUUUUAUUGACUUAGUAAACGCUGGCUAUUUUUGAAUGAUCAAUCCGAAAACUGGCUAGACCAUACUAUUUUAACUAAAAAGUUAGAUAUAUUAAGCCCUUGGCGUGUUCCGUUGAUUCUAAUUGGGUCUAUGAAAGAGAAUGGGCCUAGUUGAUUGAAUCAUAAUUUUUGGGAAAAUAAUAGUGUGUAAUAGCUCUUAAAAUAAUAGCCGAAAAAUAUAUAUAUUUGUAUAUAUAAAUAUAUAUUUCUGUAUUUUAUAUAUAAAAUUAUACAAAUCUUAUACACUUAUGCGACUUUGUUGUAAGUAGUUUCGACUAUGCGCUAAAAAUGAUGUUUGCCCUAAUUUUGGCAACAAGUACUUACCAAUUGGAUUCAAUUUAAUUAACUGCCAGUGUGGCUCUUAUAACUUUUUUUUUUCUUUUUUGGAUUUUUAAAACUUUUGUUCCACUAGAAAUGAUACAGGUAGUAACAAUUCUCAAACAGUGAGAACUGCCAAAAUGUAAAAAUUACCAAUAUAUCUGGAAUUCCUCUUCUUUUUUAAGUUUAAUAUUAAACUUAUUGGACUUUUUUUUUGAAAAUGCUGAACAAUAAGGUAGACCUACUUGUGUAUAAAUGGCGUAGAAUAACUACUUUUUAAAAUUAUCACGACCCAAAAUCCCUUCGAAGGGGGUCGUGAUGGCACCUAGUCUCUAAAACUAGGUAAGCCUAACAUUAACAUAAUUAAUGACAAUAUUCACUAACUUCGAAUUAGAUAUCUCUGCACAAUUUAUAAUUCCCAAAAUCGGUAGUACAAGUCAUAAGCCUUUCUAGGAGUAGUUAUAUAAAAUGAAUACAUCAUUGUUCCAGAACAAAAGGAAACAAUGGAAAUAGGUACAAUAGAAGGUGACUCUAAGGCCUGCAAACGCUACUGCAGGUUUACCUUGAGUCUCCACAACAACGAUCCGCACAACCACUAACGAUCUGUACAAAAAUAUAUAGAAGUGUAGCAUGAGCACACCACAGCGGUGCCCAGUAAGUAUCAAGACUAACCUCGAUGGAGUAAAGACGAGGAACAGUCAAGACAUCUACUGGUCUAAUAAGCUGAACAAGAUAUGAUAAUAAACUAAUAAGAUAAAGAUAACAAAGUAACGCCAAUAGCAAGAAGAAAUCAAAUUACAAACAGUAGAGACGAUAAGGGGGAAAACACAGAUGGUACCGAGAAGUAACCAUGUAAAUUAAAACCAACACAGCUGGGAUACAUACAAGUAAAAAUGUGCUCAAAUAAGGAAAGCAAUGUUAACUCAACCAAUCGCAUCAUUCCUAAUACACAAUUCCGACCAUCCCAAUCCUCGAAGUAUCAUAUCAUAAUCACAACUUCCAAACCUUUAACACACAUGACACCUUGUGCCCACAUAUUUCCCUUUUACUUUGCACGUCAAAGAUCCACGUGUUACUCAGUACAUAAUAUCCAUGACAAACACUAAUUAAGAUGUUUAAGAAGUCCCAUUUAUAUAUCAUAAAGUAAAUUUAUAGUUUCUAGACCAAAUAGGAAAACCAGCGAGAAAAGAUGAAGUUAUUUUUAGAAAUCAUUUGAGUGAAGAAAAUAAUAUUUUUCAAAUAGAGAUACAACAUCGGAUAAGCUAUCGCCUUUAAUAUAGGAUUCAUUAAAUUAAAACUUAAUAGAAAUUUCUUUUUAAGAAAAUAUAACCUCAGACAUGUUAAGGAGAUUUAGUUGAGAAACCAGUUAAAAUAAAAUAUAACAAUUAUUAGAAAUAGUGGAUACUAAAAUAUACAGCGAGUUCUAACUUAAAGGCACAUAAGGAAACAUGAUAUUAGUUCCUUCAUUUUAAAUCACAAUAUUACGAACGACCCAACAUGGCAGGAGGAAAUGACUCAACGUAGUAACUCUACUUUGAAAAUUAAUUCACCAGAAUAAUAAUAUUAGGAAAAGAACUCAGGAAAUGAUGGCAAGUCAAUAAGUUAAUGAAAAUAACUCGAUCCUCAAAACUUAGUGAAAACCAGAAAUACAAAUUAUCAAGCGUUGCACAAAGGAACUCAAGUCAAUACAGCAAAACAGGAGAUACCAAAAUACAAGAUAUGUUGCGGCACACAACCCUAUCCCACUAUAUAAUACCAAUUCACCCUUAUUCCUCUUUAAUAUAUCACCCGUAUUCCUUCUGUUGCGACGUGCAAUCCGAUCCCACCGUACAAUAUCAAUUCACCCUUAUUCCUCCUCAAUAUAUCACCUUUAUUCCUCAUGUUGCGGCGUGCAACCCGAUCGCACCGUACAAUAUCAAUAUCAUAACAAUAAACAUAAUAUGUUGCACCGGUGCUCCAAUCUCCAGUAUAUUAUAUUGGAACUUUCCGCGUAUUGGAGUUCCAGCAUAAUAUGCUGGAAGUUCAUACACAGGUGCACCGAUCUCCAGUAUAUUAUGUUGGAACUUUCCGUGUUGCAGCAAAAUGGUGGCUAUUUUUCAAUGACUUUGUUAACGCUGGCUAUUUUUGAAUAAUCAGUCGAAAACUGGCUAGCACGUUGAUGGUGCAAAUGAAACAAAUUUUGGAUACAGCCCUUCUGAGUAAGCGCAAUAAAAUUUCAGCUUACUACAGUUAGACCUCUCUAUAACAACAUCUCUAUAUAAUAGUCACUCAUUAUAAAAGCCAAGUUUUUCUUGAAACCGAUUAUUGUAUUAUGUUAUAAUAUAUACCCUCUAUAACAACACUUUACUAUAGCAGUUAACAAAAUUCAGAACAAACGAGGCUGUUAUAGAGUGUUAGAUAUUGUCAGAGAGUAUCUCAAAUAUAAGAUUGUAUGUCGGAUAGAUAGUCAAAUAUUGUAGGUAGAAGGCGUGAUCUCAGGGAUGCAUUGUUGACUUAUGUGUCUAGCUUUUGUGUAUAUAUUCUCGAUGUAAUUUAUCAUUUUAAGCAUGAAGUGAAUUACACUUACAUCAUUCACAUGGUAUCAGAGCCUCUACGAUCUCGGUAGAGACUCAUACCUUUUUUUCGGCUGCUUUUUCCGGCAGACACUACUUCCGGUCAGAUCUUGUUACCCUCUGACCCCCGACUCCAUUAGUAGUCUCCUUUUCCGGCCAGAUCUUGUUUCCACAAUCUUGAGUUCAGAAAGAAAGACAUCAAUCUUGCCAUUUUUGCAACACGGUAAGAAAUUUCUCUACUUUUGCUUCUUGUUGUUGUUAUUGAAGUUGUAAUGAGAUAGGAAGAAGAGUUGUUGGGUCUUGUAUUUUGAGAGAGGAACAGAGUAAUUGGGUUUAUGAUAAGCUUUUCGUUAAAGCUAAUUCAAGUCCACUUUAUUGUCCCACUUCUUUAUUGCUUUUUGUCGCACCUCUUUAUUUUGUCCCACCUCUUUAUUGUUUUUUUUCAAAAAGUUCACUAUUGAUAUCCGUUUUUCCUCUACAUCAAACCAUUACUUUGGCUUAUUUUGGAUUCUAGUGGAAGCUAUUUGCAACAUAUUAUUUUUACCUAUUUAAUCUUUUCGGAAUUAGAAUCUCAAAAUGUCGGAGCAAGAUGAUUCUUCACAGACAGGUGAGUCAUCCACAGUAGAAGAAGUCAAACCAUUUUUCUCUUCAAUUUCAAAUCCUUCCACUAUUACUACUGUUAAAUUACAAGGUAGUAAUAAUUACUCACCGUGGUCUUCUUCAGUUGAGAUGUGGUUCCUGGGACAGGGAUAUGAGGAUCACUUAG